rnacentral:rRNA from 1 species
GAUGAACGCUGGCGGCGUGCCUAAUACAUGCAAGUCGAGCGAACAGACGAGGAGCUUGCUCCUCUGACGUUAGCGGCGGACGGGUGAGUAACACGUGGAUAACCUACCUAUAAGACUGGGAUAACUUCGGGAAACCGGAGCUAAUACCGGAUAAUAUAUUGAACCGCAUGGUUCAUUAGUGAAAGACGGUUUUGCUGUCACUUAUAGAUGGAUCCGCGCCGCAUUAGCUAGUUGGUAAGGUAACGGCUUACCAAGGCGACGAUGCGUAGCCGACCUGAGAGGGUGAUCGGCCACACUGGAACUGAGACACGGUCCAGACUCCUACGGGAGGCAGCAGUAGGGAAUCUUCCGCAAUGGGCGAAAGCCUGACGGAGCAACGCCGCGUGAGUGAUGAAGGUCUUCGGAUCGUAAAACUCUGUUACUAGGGAAGAACAAAUGUGUAAGUAACUAUGCACGUCUUGACGGUACCUAAUCAGAAAGCCACGGCUAACUACGUG